CCUACGGGGGGCAGCAGUGGGGAAUUUUGCGCAAUGGGGGGAACCCUGACGCAGCAACGCCGCGUGCGGGACGAAGGCACUCGGGUUGUAAACCGCUUUCAGCAGGGAAGAUCCAAGACGGUACCUGCAGAAGAAGCUCCGGCGAACUACGUGCGAGCAGCCGCGGUAAUACGUAGGGGGCGAGCGUUUUCCGGAUUCAUUGGGGGUAAAGCGCGCGUAGGCGGCCGCCUAAGCGGGACGUCUAACCCCGGGGCUCAACCCCGGGCCGGGUUCCGGACUGGGCGGCUCGAGUGCGGUAGAGGAGCGCGGAAUUCGCGGUGUAGCGGUGGAAUGCGCAGAUAUCGGGCAGAACACCGAUGGCGAAGGCAGCUCUCUGGGCCGUCACUGACGCUGAGGCGCGAAAGCUGGGGGAGCGAACAGGAUUAGAUACCCGGGUAGUC
rnacentral:rRNA from 1 species